CCUACGGGUGGCAGCAGUGGGGAAUAUUGCGCAAUGGGCGCAAGCCUGACGCAGCGACGCCGCGUGAGGGAAGAAGGUCUUCGGAUCGUAAACUUCUGUCAGCAGGGAAGAACGGUCACUGUGCUAAUCAGCAGUGACUUGACGGUACCUGCAAAGGAAGCACCGGCUAACACCGUGCCAGCAGCCGCGGUAAUACGGAGGGUGCGAGCGUUAACCGGAAUUACUGGGCGUAAAGCGCUCGUAGGCGGGAUGUCAAGUCAAGGGUGAAAUCCCCGCGCUCAACGUGGGAACUGCCUGUGAAACUGGCAGACUGGAGUGUGGGAGAGGAUAGUGGAAUUCCAGGUGUAGGAGUGAAAUCCGUAGAUAUCAGGAGGAACAGCAGUGGCGAAGGCGACUAUCUGGCACAUAACUGACGCUGAGGAGCGAAAGCGUGGGGAGCAAACAGGAUUAGAUACCCUGGUAGUC
rnacentral:rRNA from 1 species